UGCGUAGGUGGCGAGCGUUGUCCGGAUUUACUGGGCGUAAAGAGCGCGCAGGCGGUCGUGCAAGUCGCGUGUGAAAGCCCCCGGCUCAACUGGGGAGGGUCACGCGAUACUGAUCGACUCGAAGGCAGGAGAGGGUAGUGGAAUUCCCGGUGUAGUGGUGAAAUGCGUAGAUAUCGGGAGGAACACCAGUGGCGAAGGCGACUACCUGGCCUGUUUCUUGACGCUGAGGCGCGAAAGCUAGGGGAGCAAACGGG
rnacentral:rRNA from 1 species